GAAUCCCGUAUAUGGCAUGGACUACCGUUACUCUGUGAUACACUCUCGACGAGUCGAGUUGUUUGGGAAUGCAGCUCCMAAUGGGUGGUAAAUGCCAUCUAAAGCUAAAUAUUGGCGAGAGACCGAUAGCGAACAAGUACCGUGAGGGAAAGAUGAAAAGCACUUUGGAAAGAGAGUGAAACAGUACGUGAAAUUGUUGAAAGGGAAACGCUUGAAGUCAGUCGCGCCGUUCGGGAUUCAGCCUUGCUUCUGCUCGGUUUACUUCCCGUUGGGUGGGUCAACAUCAGUUUUGGUCGGAGGAGAAAGGCUUGGGGAAGGUGGCAGCAUUCGUGCUGUGUUAUAGCCCCUUGUUGUAUACUUCGACUGGGACUGAGGACCGCAGCACGCCUUUGGCCGGGGUUCGCCCACGUACGUGCUUAGGAUGUUGGCAUAAUGGCUUUAAGCGACCCGUCUUGAAACACGGACCAAGGAGUCUAACAUGUGCGCGAGUGUUUGAGUGUUAAACUCAGACGCGAAAUGAAAGUGAAAAGUUGGGAACACUCAUGUGUGCACCGACGCCCGGAGCUGACCUUCUGUGACGCAUCUGCGGUAGAGCGUAUAUGUUGGGACCCGAAAGAUGGUGAACUAUGCCUGAAUAGGGUGGAGCCAGAGGAAACUCUGGUGGAGGCUCGUAGCGAUUCUGACGUGCAAAUCGAUCGUCAAAUUUGGGUAUAGGGGCGAAAGACUAAUCGAACCAUCUAGUAGCUGGUUCCUGCC
rnacentral:rRNA from 1 species